rnacentral:misc_RNA from 1 species
GAUGAAGAACGCAGCGAAAUGCGAUACGUAAUGUGAAUUGCAGAAUUCAGUGAAUCAUCGAGUCUUUGAACGCACAUUGCGCCCCCUGGUAUUCCGGGGGGCAUGCCUGUCCGAGCGUCAUUGCUGCCCUCAAGCCCGGCUUGUGUGUUGGGUCUCGUCCCCCUUCCCGGGGGGACGGGCCCGAAAGGCAGCGGCGGCACCGCGUCCGGUCCUCGAGCGUAUGGGGCUUUGUCACCCGCUCUGUAGGCCCGGCCGGCGCUUGCCGAUCAACCAAAACUUUUUUCCAGGUUGACCUCGGAUCAGGUAGGGAUACCCGCUGAACUUCAGCAUAUCAAUAAGCGGAGGA